rnacentral:rRNA from 1 species
CCUACGGGGGGCAGCAGUGAGGAAUAUUGGUCAAUGGACGAGAGUCUGAACCAGCCAAGUAGCGUGAAGGAUGACUGCCCUAUGGGUUGUAAACUUCUUUUAUAAAGGAAUAAAACGAGGCACGUGUGCCUUUUUGCAUGUACUUUAUGAAUAAGGAUCGGCUAACUCCGUGCCAGCAGCCGCGGUAAUACGGAGGAUCCGAGCGUUAUCCGGAUUUAUUGGGUUUAAAGGGAGCGUAGAUGGGUUGUUAAGUCAGUUGUGAAAGUUCGCGGCUCAACCGUAAAAUUGCAAUUGAUACUGGCAGUCUUGAGUACAGUUGAGGUAAGCGGAAUUCGUGGUGUAGCGGUGAAAUGCUUAGAUAUCACGAAGAACCCCGAUUGCGAAGGCAGCUUACUAGCCUGUGACUGACAUUGAUGCUCGAAAGUGUGGGUAUCGAACAGGAUUAGAUACCCUAGUAGUC